UUCCGUAGGUGAACCUGCGGAAGGAUCAUUAAUGAAUUAAAGUCGGUCUUCUGUGCUGGUGGUGACACAUGUGCACGUUGAUCGCAAAUCCACACACCUGUGCACCUUUGACUUUAGGAUCCGCUUGUUGGCUUGUCUGACUUGCAGCUGAUGUUGGUUUUGUGCUCAUCUGGAUCUUAGAGUAAUUUUACACACUCUGAAUGUAAUGGAAUGUUCCUGUGCAUAAUGCGCAAAAUACAACUUUCAACAACGGAUCUCUUGGCUCUCGCAUCGAUGAAGAACGCAGCGAAAUGUGAUAAGUAAUGUGAAUUGCAGAAUUCAGUGAAUCAUCGAAUCUUUGAACGCACCUUGCACCCUUUGGUAUUCCAAAGGGUACACCCGUUUGAGUGUCAUUGUAAUCUCACUUCAUCAGCUUUUGUUGAUGGAGGUGGACUUGGACUCUGUUGUGUCAUUACAACUGGUCUGAAAUGUGUGAGUGCACCCUGCUGUUGCAGCGUCCUCAGUGUGAUAAGCAUCUUCACUGAAUCAAGUUCCUUUGGGACACGUGUGUAAUGUGGGCUCUGUGCUGGCAAACUGUCUUUGGACAAUCUUGACAAUUUGACCUCAGAUCGAGUGGGACUACCCGCUGAACUUAAGCAUAUCAAUAAGCGGAGGAAAAGAAACUAACAAGGAUUCCCCUAGUAACGGCGAGUGAAGAGGGAAAAGCUCAAAUUUUGAAUCUGGUGCCUUUGGCAUCCGAGUUGUAAUCUAGAGAAGUGUUUUCUGCCUUGGACCACACAUAAAUUCCCUGGAAUGGGGUGUCAUAGAGGGUGAGAAUCCCGUUUGUGGUGUGGACUACCUUGGCUCUGUGAUACACUCUCAACGAGUCGAGUUGUUUGGGAAUGCAGCUCAAAAUGGGUGGUAAAUUCCAUCUAAAGCUAAAUAUUGGCGAGAGACCGAUAGCGAACAAGUACCGUGAGGGAAAGAUGAAAAGCACUUUGGAAAGAGAGUGAAACAGUACGUGAAAUUGUUGAAAGGGAAGCGUUUGAAGUCAGUCACAUUGGUCAGAAUUCAGCCUGGCUUAUGCCUGGUGUACUUUCUGGCAAAUGGGUCAGCGUCAAUUUUGACCGAGGGAGAAAGACUUGAGGAAGGUGGCUGUCUUUGGGCAGUGUUAUAGCCUCUUGUUGUAAUGCUCGGUUGGGAUUGAGGAUCGCAGCACGCCUUAUGGCCGGGGUUCGCGCCCUCGGUACGUGCUUAGGACGCUGGCAUAAUGGCUUUAAGCGACCCGUCUUG
rnacentral:rRNA from 1 species